rnacentral:rRNA from 1 species
CUGGAGGUAUCAGAAGUGCGAAUGCUGACAUAAGUAACGAUAAAGCGGGUGAAAAGCCCGCUCGCCGGAAGACCAAGGGUUCCUGUCCAACGUUAAUCGGGGCAGGGUGAGUCGACCCCUAAGGCGAGGCCGAAAGGCGUAGUCGAUGGGAAACGGGUUAAUAUUCCCGUACUUGGUGUUACUGCGAAGGGGGGACGGAGAAGGCUAUGUUGGCCGGGCGACGGUUGUCCCGGUUUAAGCGUGUAGGUGUGUGUUCCAGGUAAAUCCGGUUCACUUUAACACUGAGGCGUGAUGACGAGGCACUACGGUGCUGAAGCAACAAAUGCCCUGCUUCCAGGAAAAGCCUCUAAGCAUCAGGUAACAUCAAAUCGUACCCCAAACCGACACAGGUGGUCAGGUAGAGAAUACCAAGGCGCUUGAGAGAACUCGGGUGAAGGAACUAGGCAAAAUGGUGCCGUAACUUCGGGAGAAGGCACGCUGACACGUAGGUGAAGUGAUUUACUCAUGGAGCUGAAGUCAGUCGAAGAUACCAGCUGGCUGCAACUGUUUAUUAAAAACACAGCACUGUGCAAACACGAAAGUGGACGUAUACGGUGUGACGCCUGCCCGGUGCCGGAAGGUUAAUUGAUGGGGUCAGCGCAAGCGAAGCUCCUGAUCGAAGCCCCGGUAAACGGCGGCCGUAACUAUAACGGUCCUAAGGUAGCGAAAUUCCUUGUCGGGUAAGUUCCGACCUGCACGAAUGGCGUAAUGAUGGCCAGGCUGUCUCCACCCGAGACUCAGUGAAAUUGAACUCGCUGUGAAGAUGCAGUGUACCCGCGGCAAGACGGAAAGACCCCGUGAACCUUUACUAUAGCUUGACACUGAACAUUGAGCCUUGAUGUGUAGGAUAGGUGGGAGGCUUUGAAGCGUGGACGCCAGUCUGCGUGGAGCCGACCUUGAAAUACCACCCUUUAAUGUUUGAUGUUCUAACGUGGACCCGUGAUCCGGGUUGCGGACAGUGUCUGGUGGGUAGUUUGACUGGGGCGGUCUCCUCCUAAAGAGUAACGGAGGAGCACGAAGGUUGGCUAAUCCUGGUCGGACAUCAGGAGGUUAGUGCAAUGGCAUAAGCCAGCUUGACUGCGAGCGUGACGGCGCGAGCAGGUGCGAAAGCAGGUCAUAGUGAUCCGGUGGUUCUGAAUGGAAGGGCCAUCGCUCAACGGAUAAAAGGUACUCCGGGGAUAACAGGCUGAUACCGCCCAAGAGUUCAUAUCGACGGCGGUGUUUGGCACCUCGAUGUCGGCUCAUCACAUCCUGGGGCUGAAGUAGGUCCCAAGGGUAUGGCUGUUCGCCAUUUAAAGUGGUACGCGAGCUGGGUUUAGAACGUCGUGAGACAGUUCGGUCCCUAUCUGCCGUGGGCGCUGGAGAACUGAGGGGGGCUGCUCCUAGUACGAGAGGACCGGAGUGGACGCAUCACUGGUGUUCGGGUUGUCAUGCCAAUGGCACUGCCCGGUAGCUAAAUGCGGAAGAGAUAAGUGCUGAAAGCAUCUAAGCACGAAACUUGCCCCGAGAUGAGUUCUCCCUGAGACUUAGAGUCUCCUGAAGGAACGUUGAAGACGACGACGUUGAUAGGCCGGGUGUGUAAGCGCAGCGAUGCGUUGAGCUAACCGGUACUAAUGAACCGUGAGGCUUAACCUU